rnacentral:antisense_RNA from 1 species
GGGCAACCAGCCCAGCUCAAUUUGCCUGGGGGCUUUUGAAUCUACAAUCUCUUCCAACAUUAAACAAGUGAAUCCUGUGCACCCUGGUGCCUGGCUACUUCAAGAGUUGAGCUAAUCACAGGGAAGAUUCAGUCUCAGUUCAGCUGCCUCAUUUGAUCAACUCAAGACUGAGUCCAACAAAAGUGGUCUGUCUAAUGAAACUCAUUUUCAUUUUUUCUCAUUAGUCUAUAACGAUUGAGACUGUAAAACGACAAAAGAAUAAAAAGAAUGACAAUUAAAAAUCAUUUUCUCUGGCCCUUGA